rnacentral:misc_RNA from 1 species
AUGGGGUAGUCCUAGGCAAAUUAGUUUAAUGCCUUAAAAAGUUUUCUUUGAAUCAUUAAGUGGCAAAUUGCAUGAAAAAAAAGAAUAGAGAUUCUGUACGGCACUGCAUAAGGCACCCUAAUCAUGUGAAUGGAGAAGCAAUCCAAUUUUCUGCGCAAAGAAAGGCAAUCCAAUUUCUUCGCCAACCUACUCGGCUCGUCACCCCUUAAAUAACCAGUUGCAUUCUCUUCAACUUUAAUAUUCCUUCAUCCAUUUGGAAAAAAAA